rnacentral:RNase_P_RNA from 1 species
UGAGCCGGCCGGGCGGUCGCGUGGAUCUUCGGAUCCACGAGGAACGUCCGGGCUCCACAGAGCAGGGUGGUGGGUAACGCCCACCCGGGGUGACCCGCGGGACAGUGCCACAGAAAACAGACCGCCGGGGGCCGCGAGGCUUCCGGUAAGGGUGAAACGGUGGUGUAAGAGACCACCAGCGUCCAGGGUGACCUGGACGGCUAGGUAAACCCCACUCGGAGCAAGGUCAAGAGGGGCCGCCGUCAGGCGACCCUGCGCGGACGUCCGAGGGCUGCUCGCCCGAGUCCGCGGGUAGACCGCACGAGCCUGUCGGCAACGGCAGGCCUAGAUGGAUGGCCGCCUCCCCGAGGGCCGCGAGGCCCCUGGGAGACAGAACCCGGCGUACAGGCCGACUCAUCCG